CAUAUAAAUUGACUAUUAUACUCUCUUCUUCUUACUCUUCUCCAUAAUGGUAGAGAGAGAGAGAGAAUGGAAACACCGUUUGCAAUGACUUUCUCCAUUUCAGCUCAAAUAUGAAGAUCACAAAUCUCAAUUCAGACCCUUCUCUGCUUCACUCCCAAUCUCCACCACUCUCUUCUUGUUUGCCCUCUUUUCAACCCCACAUGAAUCCAAAGAUCUUAGCCUCUCCAGAGAUCAAAUUGUGGAGAAGACCAUUGAUCAAGUUCAGGAAGUGGGUUCAAGUUUUUCCGAUGUGGCACAGCAUGUUUUUCGAGGUGCACACCAUGUGUUUGAACAAAUACAUUAAGGCAUUCACCGACAUGCACACCAUGUGUUUGAAUUUGGGCUCGUUCCGUUGUGGUAAAAGGCUACUAACAGGAGAGAUUAAAGAAAUGGAGAGAGAUGUGUUUUAUGUAUAUAUAUGUGUGUGUACACAUGAUCAAGAAAAAUGGAUUUCAGAAAAAUAGGUUUGAAUUUAUA